rnacentral:rRNA from 1 species
GAUGAACGCUAGCUACAGGCUUAACACAUGCAAGUCGAGGGGAAACGACAUCGAAAGCUUGCUUUUGAUGGGCGUCGACCGGCGCACGGGUGAGUAACGCGUAUCCAACCUGCCCAUCACUUGGGAUUAACCUUGCGAAAGUAAGACUAAUACCCAAUGAUAUCCCACGAAGGCAUCGGAAUGGGAUUAAAGAUUUAUCGGUGAUGGAUGGGGAUGCGUCUGAUUAGCUUGUUGGCGGGGUAACGGCCCACCAAGGCAACGAUCAGUAGGGGUUCUGAGAGGAAGGUCCCCCACAUUGGAACUGAGACACGGUCCAAACUCCUACGGGAGGCAGCAGUGAGGAAUAUUGGUCAAUGGGCGAGAGCCUGAACCAGCCAAGUAGCGUGCAGGAAGACGGCCCUAUGGGUUGUAAACUGCUUUUAUAAGGGAAUAAAGUGGGUCACGUGUGACUUUUUGCAUGUACCUUAUGAAUAAGGACCGGCUAAUUCCGCG